AGGAAUAUUGGUCAAUGGACGCAAGUCUGAACCAGCCAUGCCGCGUGAAGGAUGAAGGUCCUCUGGAUUGUAAACUUCUUUUAUCUGGGACGAAAACGGGAUUUUUAUCUCAAUUGACGGUACCAGAGGAAUAAGCACCGGCUAACUCCGUGCCAGCAGCCGCGGUAAUACGGAGGGUGCGAGCGUUAUCCGGAUUUACUGGGUUUAAAGGGUGCGUAGGUGGGCGUAUAAGUCAGUGGUGAAAUCUCCGAGCUUAACUUGGAAACUGCCGUUGA
rnacentral:rRNA from 1 species